rnacentral:rRNA from 1 species
AACGUAGGCGGCGAGCGUUAUCCGGAUUUACUGGGUGUAAAGCGCGUGCAGGCGGCUUGGUAAGUGGUGUGUGAAAGCGCCCGGCCUAACCGGGCGAGGCCGCACCAGACUGCGAAGCUGGAGGGAGGUAGAGGCGUGUGGAAUUCCGGGUGUAGUGGUGAAAUGCGUAGAGAUCCGGAGGAACACCAGUGGCGAAGGCGACACGCUGGGCCAACCCUGACGCUAAGACGCGAAAGCAUGGGGAGCGAAC